GAUGAACGCUGGCGGCGUGCCUAAUACAUGCAAGUCGAGCGAACAGACGAGGAGCUUGCUCCUCUGACGUUAGCGGCGGACGGGUGAGUAACACGUGGAUAACCUACCUAUAAGACUGGGAUAACUUCGGGAAACCGGAGCUAAUACCGGAUAAUAUAUUGAACCGCAUGGUUCAAUAGUGAAAGACGGUUUUUGUGUCACUUAUAGAUGGAUCCGCGCUGCAUUAGCUAGUUGGUAGGGUAACGGCUUGCCAAGGCAACGAGGCGUAGCCGACCUGAGAGGGUGAUCGGCCACACUGGAACUGGGACACGGUCCAGGCUCCUACGGGAGGCAGCAGUAGGGAAUCUGCCGCAAUGGGCGAAAGCUUGACGGAGCAACGCCGAGUGAGUGAUGAAGGUCUUCGGUUCGUAAAACUCUGUUAUUAGGGAAGAACAAAUGUGUAAGUAACUAUGCACGUCUUGACGGUACCGAAUCAGAAAGCCACGGCUAACUACGUG
rnacentral:rRNA from 1 species